rnacentral:rRNA from 1 species
CCACGCCGUAAACGAUGAGUGCUAGGUGUCGGGAGUCAAAUCUCGGUGCCGCAGUUAACGCAAUAAGCACUCCGCCUGGGGAGUACGUACGCAAGUAUGAAACUCAAAGGAAUUGACGGGGACCCGCACAAGCAGCGGAGCAUGUGGUUUAAUUCGAAGCUACGCGAAGAACCUUACCAGGUCUUGACAUCGAGUGACGAGCAAAGAGAUUUGCUUUUCCUUCGGGACACGAAGACAGGUGGUGCAUGGUUGU